ensembl:lncRNA
ACCAGAAUCUAUGUCUACUGAUUUCUAGGAGGAUGCCCAAGAAAUAUUGGUGAGGGAAUAAAAAUCAAGUAGGCUAGUGGUAUAGCAGGGCCCUGUUUUGUAUAGUCCAGUGGCACUGGAACCCCCCACCUCCCGCCCACUUCUGUGUUUCUGUAUGUGCAGCCAACAGGCGCAAUGUGUGUCUGGCUGCUGACCCCGGGGAGUUUGCAAGGGUGAGUUCGGAGGAGAGGUAGUAACUUUCCUCACAUACCUUUGCAUCGUUCCCACACUUAAAAUGAGGAUUUAGCUUAAAAAAACAAACUUUAAUUUAUAAUGCCAUAAGUGAGUAAAUGGCAAUUAUUUUUCAUGUAAAACGUUGUCUUAACUAUCCUGACAUCAAAUCUGACAAACUGAUAUAUGCUUGGGGGAUAUGCCCAGUAAGUAAACGUGUUUAUUGUUUGGGUAGAUGAAGAUGUUGUUGCCUUUUUUGAAAACUGACUACAUCAUGAAGAUCUUGAAAAGUCAAUAAGGUAAAUACCCCGUUAGCAAAAUGGGCAAAUGACAGUUCAAACAUUACAAAUGGACCAUUAACCUAAAAAUACUAAUCUCGUGCAAUCUUGUUGAUAACCAAAUAGAUGCCAGUUAAAAUGAGGAAGCAGCCUGCCAUGGGAUGGAAGCAGGAAGAGGGUAGGGAAGGGUGAGAGAUCCUGAGACAGAGGAUGCAGGGGGUUGUAAAGUGCGCUGCGUCUGCCCAGCGGGAGGCACGAAGAAGCUGGACCCCAUCCUGGGGGCCAAAGUGAAGUGAACACCAGCCCAUUGUCCUGAACUCCACGGUCUCUGUCCAAAUACAGUGACCCGUCAAAGUUAAUGUACAAUCUCCACUUGCGACAUAACAGAAGGAAAGGUCAGUGUGGUGAGAGUGCAGGAGAGGCUGGGAGCUGAUGGUGCAGAUGCCAACAGUGGCUGGCGUUCUGAGUGCCAGCUCCACAGCCCACACAGGGGAGUGACAUGGCUCUGUUGGGUCUGCCCACCCUCCUGGUGGCUUGUGCGGCUUUCCUGAUGUUCGACUCUGUGGAGAAGACGAGGCACUCACAGGCUUAUGCUCCCACCUGGCCCUCGUCCCCUUCCCAUCAUUGGGAAUAUGCUGCAGGUGAAACUGUGGGACAUGCCACCUCUCUAUCCAGGGACUUGCGUCCAGCCAUGGCAAAGCGGUGGAAGCAAAUGUGUCGUUUUCCUCUCAUGACCCUGUGGAACUUUGGGACGGGCAGGAGGAGCAUCGAGGGCCGUGUCCGGGAGGAAGCCCAGCACCUGGUGCGGGUCCUCACACAGACAGAGGGAGCACGUCAACUAUCAAGACGAGGAGUUCCUGAAUCGGACUGGGUUGUUGAAUGAAAACGUUUCCAUAGUAAGCUCUUUCUGGGCCCAGGUCCAGGUCUGAUGCCCCCUGUCUGGAAGACCCCAGGCCUCCAUGGUGUGUUUCCCCACCGCUGGGCUGACAUGUGGAGCGCGUACCUUUCCCUCAUUAACUGCCUGAUGGUUCAGUGUUUACUCAGCACUUGCUAGGCAAAGUGACCUGACUGAGACCAUCCCUCCUGCCCCCCCCAGGAGCCCAUGGACCAUCACAGAACUGCAGGUAAAGUGGCUGGUAUUCAGGGUGACGGUUGGAACCAUUGCUACUUUGGGAGCACAGGUCGCCUGUCUCUAAUCCCUGGACAGAGCCCACCAUGGGACAAAGAAUAAGGGCCUGGUGGCUAACGUGUGUGUGUGUGCGUGUGUUUAUGCACAAGUGGGCCCUGUUUUUACCUUUUCUUCAAGACUACGUCCAAAGCACAACAUCUUAAAAUAUAUUUUCCACUAUGCAAGAUGUUACAACUAUUAACCUCUUUGCCGAUUACAAAUUAGGCAUCAAGUGAAAAUCACUUAGGCAAAAAAAAAAAAAAAAAAAAAGGCAUAAAAUAACCAUUCAUAUACGCCAUAAACAUUCCACCUCCUAAGGACUUAUUAUCCUUUCUAACCCACAUCUGUGUGUGUCUAAUAGAGGACUUAUGAUGAAAUCAUGUAACU